rnacentral:lncRNA from 1 species
AUGAUACAACUUAAGGCAAUCCAUUAGAAGCAAUAAGAAGAUGAUGAAUUGGAAGAAGAAAAGUGAUGUAAGCGAUGGAAAGAAUGGAGCAGGCUUUCACAAGAACUGUUUUCAAAUAGUCCAUGUGGUAUCCCUCCACAACAUGGGGGAGGCCAUUCCUGCCUACUGCACCAGUCCCUGGUCAUGUUUGUGUAGCAUUUGAAAAUCACCAACCAGGAGAUCAUAUCUCAGCAACCUCCACAACAUCAUAUAUAUUUGUGAAACCCUUUUGCCCAUGAGCAUUUCUUUGCUACGUG